CCGUGUCUCAAUGCGAAGGCUGCAGCCUCUGGAGGUCGCAUUUCUCGGCUGCAUACGUCAUCAAAACUGUCUUGUUUCAGAAUAUUAACAAUUAUAAAGUUGACUGUUAUUCUAAGUUAAUAGUAAAUUGUUUAAUAUGCUUAUGACUUGCGAAUCUAAUGGUCAGUUAACUUAAAUAACCCAGGGUUGAUGACGUAUGGACCCUGCAUAUGCAAGUGCGACGACCUCCGCAGGCUGAAACCAGUCUCUCGAGCUGAAAGAAAACGCAGCUGAGGAGAUAUGAGGUAAGACUUAUCCGGCAACAUUACAUUUAUAACGUCUUUAAUUUAAUUAUAGCGUUAGCAUUGUGAACCAAAAUUAAUUUAAAAGUGUGUAUUUUUGUAUUUAUUGGCGCGAUAUUCGUUUAAAUCUCUCGUUUUUUUCUCUUGCUCGCUUACGUUGCUGCCUGAGGAAACGCAUAAAACUGCAGACAAGAGCCAUCGACCAUCGUUCCAGAAAACUUCCACCUAAACAGAUGCUGAGGCCCAGAUUUCCCUGCCAAGCACUCCAAGGCUCAUCAUGCUCGGAGAGUCCAUUCUGGGGGCAAAAAAUGGAUGCUUUCCAUCGAGGGCAGAGUUCUCCUCCAAUUGAGUGACCGUUGUGAUUUCACUUCUGCUCUAGCCAUGUAUGAUGCAGCCACUACAUUGGAAUUUAUCCAGAGGGUAGAGUCCAGCCCAGGAAGUCAACUAGUUCAGGUCCAGUUUUAAAAGAAUAAUAGUUCUGAAAAAAAAAACCGUCUUGGAGAAAAACAAUAUUCAGGUUUGAAAUCCUGCUGUAAAUGUAAAUCAUUUAAUUUUUAUGCAUUUGUAAUUUACCAGAAACAUUUUAAUAAAUAUUGAUUGUUUUGUGUGUUCAGAAAAGUGUUUUUGUAUGAAGUGUUGAAAUUAAAUGAAAUAUUCACAGAAAAAUGUUAACAUAUAAAAAAAUGUAUGUGUUCAGAAAAGUUUUGAGAUGUUCACAGAAAAAAUGUAACAUGUUGAAAAAAAUGUAUGCUAUGCUAUUUUUAAAUUAUGAAUUUUUGUAAUUUAAAGUGAGAAAAUAAAUGGCAUUUUUGUGACAAACAGUGUCUUCAUUUUACAGUACACAAAAUAAAUGCAGUAAUCCCUAUUACAGUAGUAGUUAUGAAAUACAGUACUGUGAUUAUUACUGUAAAAGAGUUCACAGUAAUUUUAAUUUUACUGCAGUUACAUUUACAGUAAGAAUACUGUGAAAUGAAAUACAGCAACUUACUAGCUAAUUGCUGCCAGCAAGUUACUGUAUUUUUCACAGUAUUC